AGGAACCUGCCUCAAAGAGGGGGACAACAGUUGGAAACGACUGCUAAUACCGCAUAAGCCCACGGUGCCGCAUGGCACAGAGGGAAAAGGAGCAAUCCGCUUUGAGAUGGCCUCGCGUCCGAUUAGCUAGUUGGUGAGGUAAUGGCCCACCAAGGCGACGAUCGGUAGCCGGACUGAGAGGUUGAACGGCCACAUUGGGACUGAGACACGGCCCAGACUCCUACGGGAGGCAGCAGUGGGGAAUAUUGCACAAUGGGGGAAACCCUGAUGCAGCGACGCCGCGUGGAGGAAGAAGGUCUUCGGAUUGUAAACUCCUGUUGUUGAGGAAGAUAAUGACGGUACUCAACAAGGAAGUGACGGCUAACUACGUGCCAGCAGCCGCGGUAAAACGUAGGUCACAAGCGUUGUCCGGAAUUACUGGGUGUAAAGGGAGCGCAGGCGGGAAGACAAGUUGGAAGUGAAAUCUAUGGGCUCAACCCAUAAACUGCUUUCAAAACUGUUUUUCUUGAGUAGUGCAGAGGUAGGCGGAAUUCCCGGUGUAGCGGUGGAAUGCGUAGAUAUCGGGAGGAACACCAGUGGCGAAGGCGGCCUACUGGGCACCAACUGACGCUGAGGCUCGAAAGUGUGGGUAGCAAACAGGA
rnacentral:rRNA from 1 species